UAAACCGCACAAUUAACUCGAUUAUAACAUAGAAAGUGCUGAGUUAAAAAUGUGUUGUGUUGGUGUUUUUGAAGCAGCUGCGGACAAUCAGUCAUGUGAUCUUACCCGCUUCACGCUGCCUUCUAUGUAAAUGACUCACUUGUGCUGAAUCACCUUCAUUUCCUCCCCCUCAUCCAUCCGAGGAGCCAAACGUUUCUGUUUGAAAACUCAUGUUCCCGAAACGGAAAGUCACCUAAUUCGGAAACAAGCUCUCCAAGCCUUGUCUUUCUGCGUGUCUCUGCCUGCCUGCACAGCCCUCCAGCUCCAGCGCGUCUUCAACUGGCUUUGAUCCAGGGCUGGCCCAAGCACUUCUGGGUACCCAAAUCCCAAAAUCAAGAUUGCAAAAUUUGCUCCCCCUAAAUCCUAAAAAAAGUUUUAGUGCCUACCGAAAUUAUUUGUCACAAUCACCAAAUUUGGUAGGCUAUAUUCAGGUUUAGAAAAAACUUUGUCCAUUGUUUGGCAUUUGUUAUGAUCCCAGAAGUAGUUAUAGCAUCCCCAAAUCCACCAAAUUAUGUAACUUUUCACUUAAUUGGUGGCCCCCCUGGUAGCAGAUGGGCCCUAAGCAGCUGCUUAUUUUGUUAGUGCCUCUGGACCAGCCCUGUUUUGAUCUGACUUUUUUAAGCUUCAUGCCAACAGUUUCUCCAAUAACAUGUGUGUGCAUCAUCCCCCAGAUUUGUUUUCAGAGUAGCUUUUCUGGUACUUGGUUUUUGCUUCAGAUAAUUUGUGUAAAAACUAAUUAAAAAACACUUGUAUGUCG